rnacentral:rRNA from 1 species
GACGGAGGAUGCAAGCGUUAUCCGGAAUUAUUGGGCGUAAAGCGUCCGCAGGUGGCCUAUCAAGUCUGCUGUCAAAGACCGGGGCUUAACCCCAGAAAGGCAGUGGAAACUGAAAGGCUAGAGGAUGGUAGGGGCAGAGGGAAUUCCCAGUGUAGCGGUGAAAUGCGUAGAGAUUGGGAAGAACACCGGUGGCGAAAGCACUCUGCUGGGCCGCAACUGACACUGAGAGACGAAAGCGAGGGGAGCAAAUGGG